rnacentral:rRNA from 1 species
CCUACGGGAGGCAGCAGUGAGGAAUAUUGGUCAAUGGGCGGAAGCCUGAACCAGCCAAGUCGCGUGAGGGAUUAAGGCCCUGCGGGUCGUAAACCUCUUUUGCCGGGGAGCAGUGGUCCGGACUCGUCCGGACCGGGAGAGUACCCGGAGAAAAAGCAUCGGCUAACUCCGUGCCAGCAGCCGCGGUAAUACGGAGGAUGAGAGCGUUAUCCGGAUUUAGUGGGUUUAAAGGGUGCGUAGGUGGGCAUUUAAGCCGGCGGUCAAAUGUCGGGGCUCAACCCCGGCCUGCCGUCGGAACUGGGUGCCAUGAGUGGGCGAGAAGUAUGCGGAAUGCGUGGUGUAGCGGUGAAAUGCAUAGAUAUCACGAAGAACCCCGAUUGCGAAGGCAGCCUGCCGCAGCGUUACUGACGCUGAAGCUCGAAAGCGCGGGUAUCGAACAGGAUUAGAUACCCGUGUAGUC